AAGAAUGAGUAGUAGAAAAACGGUAUGCUUGGCAAAUCUUUGACUUUCACACCCCCAUCACCCAUUUUUUGCCUUUAAACUGAUCAUUUGCUGGCAGCAGAUGGGUAAUAGGAUGAAAGUUUUCAAUAUGGUGUGGUGGGGAUGUAUGUUUCCAGACACAACAUCAAAGAGUACCAAGCAGAGUUCUUAAUGUGAUUAACAAAGAGGCAUGGAAUCUGCUAUCAAUCUUCCUUGUUACUGUCAUAGUACUUCCAGGACUGUUAAAGAAACUUUACAAUAGCUGAAUACAUGUUACACAUACAGACCAAGAAGUGCCCUGGGCAGUGUAGCAGAAUUUACAGCAAGUGCAUUUUUUGAAUUUCUGCUUCUGAGUCACUACUGUCAGUCUGACAUUUGUAUCUCAGAAGUCUUCCUACCUUAAUGUUGACAAGGCAAAUAAAGGCUAUGCCAUCAAUCUGUAACGAUAUUUGCUCCAUUUGAAAAUGUUAUCCUGAAAAGUAUAUUUCACUGUGAUUAACACUGUUACAAGAUAAAA
rnacentral:lncRNA from 1 species